rnacentral:rRNA from 1 species
GACGUAGGGCGCGAGCGUUGUCCGGAAUCAUUGGGCGUAAAGAGCGUGUAGGCGGCUUGCUAAGUCUUGCGUGAAAUCUCGGGGCUCAACCCCGAGCGGUCGUGGGAAACUGGCAGGCUAGAGUGCGGGAGAGGAGAAUGGAAUUCCUGGUGUAGCGGUGAAAUGCGCAGAUAUCAGGAAGAACACCCGUGGCGAAGGCGGCUUUCUGGGACGGUACUGACGCUGAGACGCGAAAGCGUGGGGAGCGAACAGG